rnacentral:lncRNA from 1 species
ACACGAAGCCUCCACGAGGGACGUCAGUCUCUCGUUGUCUCAAAGACGUUGAGAACAUUAAAUUUUUUUUUUGCUGUCUACGUUUUGUACUUUCGAGUUGAAUCUGAAAAAUAAUAAUAAUAAUAAUAAUAACGAUGACGACAACGAUGAUGAUGAUGUUGAUGUUGAUGAUGAUGAUGUUGAUGAUGAUGGUAACAAUAAUAAAAAACCGUUUAAUGUGAAAGUUCAAUCGAUCGAAGCUCCUAAAUGGCAUCCAAAUAAAAUUCUAAGAAAUACAAAAAUACAAAGAAAGAAUAGGAUAACUCUCUACGUCAGUGGUGUAGUCGUGGUAAUAUCUCAGGGAAGACUGUUUUGGCGUGAAUCCAGACAAUUGGAAAAGUAUCCUAACCUAAAAAAAAAAGAAAAGAAAAGAAAAAGUAAAA